rfam:Papio anubis isolate 1X1155 chromosome 4, whole genome shotgun sequence.
CCAAAGGCUCUUUUCAGAGCCACUUAACAAUUUCAAUUAAGAGUUUU